AAAAUACUCCCUCCGUCUUAAAAAUCUUGUCUUAGGUUUGUCUAAAAAUGGUUGUAUCUAAAUGUCAAAACGUGAUUAGAUACAUUCAUAUCUAGACAAAUCUAAGACAAGAAUUUUAUGACAGAGGGAGUAUUUU
rfam:Hordeum vulgare subsp. vulgare, WGS project CAJW01000000 data, contig: morex_contig_7781